UACGUAGGGCGCAAGCGUUAUCCGGAAUUAUUGGGCGUAAAGAGCUCGUAGGCGGUUUGUCGCGUCUGCCGUGAAAGUCCGGGGCUCAACUCCGGAUCUGCGGUGGGUACGGGCAGACUAGAGUGAUGUAGGGGAGACUGGAAUUCCUGGUGUAGCGGUGAAAUGCGCAGAUAUCAGGAGGAACACCGAUGGCGAAGGCAGGUCUCUGGGCAUUAACUGACGCUGAGGAGCGAAAGCAUGGGGGGCGAACAGG
rnacentral:rRNA from 1 species